rnacentral:rRNA from 1 species
AACGAACGCUGGCGGCAGGCUUAACACAUGCAAGUCGAACGCACCUUUCGGGGUGAGUGGCAGACGGGUGAGUAACGCGUGGGAAUCUACCCUUCUCUACGGGAUAGCUCCGGGAAACUGGAAUUAAUACCGUAUACGUCCUGAGGGAGAAAGAUUUAUCGGGGAAGGAUGAGCCCGCGUUGGAUUAGCUAGUUGGUGGGGUAAAGGCCUACCAAGGCGACGAUCCAUAGCUGGUCUAAGAGGAUGAUCAGCCACAUUGGGACUGAGACACGGCCCAAACUCCUACGGGAGGCAGCAGUGGGGAAUAUUGGACAAUGGGCGCAAGCCUGAUCCAGCCAUGCCGCGUGAGUGAUGAAGGCCCUAGGGUUGUAAAGCUCUUUCAGUGGGGACGAUAAUGACGGUACCCACAGAAGAAGCCCCGGCUAACUUCGUGCCAGCCGCCGCAGUAAAAC